GACGAACGCUGGCGGCGUGCUUAACGCAUGCAAGUCGAACGGAAAGGCCCUGCUUUUGUGGGGUGCUCGAGUGGCGAACGGGUGAGUAACACGUGAGUAACCUGCCCUUGACUUUGGGAUAACUUCAGGAAACUGGGGCUAAUACCGGAUAGGAGCUCCUGCUGCAUGGUGGGGGUUGGAAAGUUUCGGCGGUUGGGGAUGGACUCGCGGCUUAUCAGCUUGUUGGUGGGGUAGUGGCUUACCAAGGCUUUGACGGGUAGCCGGCCUGAGAGGGUGACCGGCCACAUUGGGACUGAGAUACGGCCCAGACUCCUACGGGAGGCAGCAGUGGGGAAUAUUGCACAAUGGGCGGAAGCCUGAUGCAUCAACGCCGCGUGCGGGAUGACGGCCUUCGGGUUGUAAACCGCUUUCGCCUGUGACGAAGCGUGAGUGACGGUAAUGGGUAAAGAAGCACCGGCUAACUACGUG
rnacentral:rRNA from 1 species